rnacentral:rRNA from 1 species
UAGGGAAUCUUCCGCAAUGGACGAAAGUCUGACGGAGCAACGCCGCGUGAGUGAUGAAGGUUUUCGGAUCGUAAAGCUCUGUUGUUAGGGAAGAACAAGUACCGUUCGAAUAGGGCGGUACCUUGACGGUACCUAACCAGAAAGCCACGGCUAACUACGUGCCAGCAGCCGCGGUAAUACGUAGGUGGCAAGCGUUGUCCGGAAUUAUUGGGCGUAAAGGGCUCGCAGGCGGCUGCUUAAGUCUGAUGUGAAAGCCCCCGGCUCAACCGGGGAGGGGCAUUGGAAACUGGGGAA